rnacentral:rRNA from 1 species
GAGCGAACGGACGAGAAGCUUGCUUCUCUGAUGUUAGCGGCGGACGGGUGAGUAACACGUGGAUAACCUACCUAUAAGACUGGGAUAACUUCGGGAAACCGGAGCUAAUACCGGAUAAUAUUUUGAACCGCAUGGUUCAAAAGUGAAAGACGGUCUUGCUGUCACUUAUAGAUGGAUCCGCGCUGCAUUAGCUAGUUGGUAAGGUAACGGCUUACCAAGGCAACGAUGCAUAGCCGACCUGAGAGGGUGAUCGGCCACACUGGAACUGAGACACGGUCCAGACUCCUACGGGAGGCAGCAGUAGGGAAUCUUCCGCAAUGGGCGAAAGCCUGACGGAGCAACGCCGCGUGAGUGAUGAAGGUCUUCGGAUCGUAAAACUCUGUUAUUAGGGAAGAACAUAUGUGUAAGUAACUGUGCACAUCUUGACGGUGCCUAAUCAGAAAGCCACGGCUAACUACGUGCCAGCAGCCGCGGUAAUACGUAGGUGGCAAGCGUUAUCCGGAAUUAUUGGGCGUAAAGCGCGCGUAGGCGGUUUUUUAAGUCUGAUGUGAAGCCCACGGCUCAACCGUGGAGGGUCAUUGGAAACUGGAAAACUUGAGUGCAGAAGAGGAAAGUGGAAUUCCAUGUGUAGCGGUGAAAUGCGCAGAGAUAUGGAGGAACACCAGUGGCGAAGGCGACUUUCUGGUCUGUAACUGACGCUGAUGUGCGAAAGCGUGGGGAUCAAACAGGAUUA